UCUUCUUUGUCUGAAAGUUUGCUUAAUUUCAGGGUCUACAGGGAGUAAAUCGAUAAUUCGAUAUAUGCUCAUAAACACCUGAGAAAAAAAUCAAAAAAAUUAAAAAGAAUAAGUUAGUAAUGUUAGAAAUAAAUAAAAUUGAAAAUAAAUAAUUUCACGAAAAAAAUGAAUAUGGCAACAGUUGACAAUCCCCGGCAAUGGCG
rnacentral:lncRNA from 1 species